rnacentral:rRNA from 1 species
GACGAACGCUGGCGGCGUGCCUAAUACAUGCAAGUAGAACGCAGUUUCGCACGGGUGAGUAACGCGUAGGUAACUUCCUCAUAGCGGGGGAUAACUAUUGGAAACGAUAGCUAAUACCCCAUACUGUGAGAUGGACCUGCGUUGUAUUAGCUAGUUGGUGGGGUAAAGGCUCACCACGGCGACGAUACAUAGCCGACCUGCGAGGGAGAUCGGGCAAACUGGGACCUGGACACGGGCCAGACUCCUACGGGAGGCAGCAGUAGGGAAACUUUGGCAAUUGAGGGAAGUCUGGACGAGCAACGCCGGGGGAGUGGAGAAGGGUUUCGGGUCGUAAAGCUAUGUUGUGAGAGAAGCGGUAACUAAAGAGAAAGGGACGGCUAACUACGUGCCAGCAGCCGCGGUAAUAC